rnacentral:tRNA from 1 species
GUCUCCUUAGCUCAGUUGGUAGAGCAAGGGACUUUUAAUCCUUGGGUCCAGGGUUCGAGCCCUGAGGAGACA